rnacentral:rRNA from 1 species
UACGUAGGGGGCGAGCGUUGUCCGAAGUUACUGGGCGUAAAGCGCGCGUAGGCGGUUUCUUAAGUCUGGGGUGAAAGGUUCAGCGCUCAACGCGAACAGUGCCUUGGAUACUGGGAGACUUGAGUCUGGGAGGGGGCAGUGGAAUUCCUGGUGUAGCGGUGAAAUGCGUAGAUAUCAGGAGGAACACCAACGGCGAAGGCAGCACUCUGGGCCGGUACUGACGCUGAGGAGCGAAAGCGUGGGGAGCAAACAGG